AUCAGAGGAAUGAGGAAGGGUGCUCCUUUGCUAGAGCUCAAGGGAGAACCAGAAGAUGGAUUCUGGUGACGCUAGUAUUUGGUGAGGGAGAAGAGAAACUGAGAACUUCAGUCCUGAGGUGCAAAAAAUUGCUACUACUCCAGAGUAUUGAUUUCCAGCUCUCCUGAUGUAUGCCUGCAUGCCCUGAGCUGAUGACAUCACUAACGCCAUUGAUCAGCACUGAAGUGAAGAGACAAUCUGUAGGGAAAAGCUUCUUCUCUUGACCCUCACUUUGGCCCAUGCAAUGCCAGAUAUGGAGCUAUACAGUAGGCAUGAAAGUUACAUCUAGAAAAUGUGUGGAGGAUUUAAUGAACAGAAAAUCUACUAAAAAAGAUGUCUU